CAUUUAUCUAGUUCUCCCCAAAGUAGGAGUCUCGCUUGGGUACCUCUUUAUGGAUGAACUUCAAAGGGCUGUCGCUCCAUUUCUUCAUGCAUCGGGGGAGGGAGGCGCCCCUUACUGUAGAAGAAGAUCGACGAACAAAGAUAGUCGACUUACAGGAGAGGAGCGAGUGCUUGUUUAAAACGUACUAACUGAGAGAUUCAUCUAUCCUGACUUUCAAGUCGUGCUUGAUUGAGUGUUAACAAUCGGUUACAGCCAACAUUCGUUAACUAGUGAUGAAGAAGGAAAAUUUAUAUAUAUAUAAUGCAUUUUAAUGGCUGAUCUAGCAUUGAGGUGUUCAGGGGAACCAGAAAGUGGGACUACCCGAAGGCUGGGUCUUCAUUUUCGCAGCCCGGACCGUCUUUCGAUGGGCCGCUGAACCGUCUCUGCCGCAUCCUGUUACUGCCUUUGGAUUAGGCGAUUGCCCGUCCGUCUUCAGGCUGACAAUGCUCUCAAAGCCCUUACGAUCGCUAGCCAAGAGAGAAGCUCCGAGCUAACAAAGGUAGAAUAAGGAUGAAGGUAGGCAGGCGAGUAGAAGGAUAGCU
rnacentral:lncRNA from 1 species